GGAGAGGUACCCGAAGCGGCCCAACGGGGUCCGGGCACACGCCCGGCCGGGUCUUCACGGCCCUCGCAGGUUCGAAUCCUGCCCUCUCCG
rnacentral:tRNA from 1 species